UACGAAGGUCCCAAGCGUUAUCCGGAUUUAUUGGGUUUAAAGGGUGCGUAGGCGGGCUGUUAAGUCAGUGGUGAAAGCUCCAUGCCUAACAUGGAAAAUGCCAUUGAUACUGACGGUCUUGAGUACAUUUGAAGUGGGCGGAAUGUGUCAUGUAGCGGUGAAAUGCUUAGAUAUGACACAGUACACCGAUUGCGUAGGCAGCUCACUAAACUGUAACUGACGCUGAGGCACGAAAGCGUGGGGAGCAAACAGG
rnacentral:rRNA from 1 species